CCGAGGUUUUGGCUAGCCCCCCAUUGUCAGAUGUCCCGAGCGCGUCCCCGAAGUCGGAAUCGGCAAAGGUGAGCCGGGACAGCCUUCUUCCUCUGCCCAGCCGCCACAGUGAUUGUCGUCAAGUCUGCCACAGGAGGAUAUUUUUUGAGGUUAACCUGCUUUCUCCCUCGCAGGUCAAUUAUUAUUGUUUGUAUAAACUUGUUAAAUCUUAGAAUUUCCGUAUGUGUUAGAAAUGUUUAUUUGAUUUGGGUCUGUAAACUAAAUUAUUAUUUUGGGACCUGUAAAUUUAAUAUGCUAUGCAUGUUUGAUGGAUUGGAUGAGGGAGCUGAGCUCCCAUUUAUUAUUAUGUUGAUGAGUAUGAGGAGGGUGAGCUGAGCUCCCCAAUUGACUAUAUAUUGUGUUUACAGGUCGGGUGAGUCGGAAACUCCCUGUUGGUAAGUCCAUUUUAUGGUCGGACUCUGUCCGUUUGUUUUCUUGAAAUUGGGCCCAAAUGGGCCUUAGAGUUGGGUUAAUGAACAGUUAGGCUUACUACGGGCCUCGGGGGCUUUAGGCUGGCCUAGGUCCUAGUGCCGGUCCGGCCCAUAGGUUGGGUCGUGACAAAUGU